UGGAAGUAAAAGUCGUAACAAGGUUUCCGUAGGUGAACCUGCGGAAGGAUCAUUAAGUAAUGAGUUCUUCAGAGGUAAACUCUCUGAAGAUCCAACUCCAUUUACUGUGAACUGUACCAAAAAUUUAAUUUACUAAAGAAUUCAGUGUUGCUAAUGUAACAUAGACCGUAAAAAGUCUAUAAAACAACUUUCAACAACGGAUCUCUUGGUUCUCGCAUCGAUGAAGAACGUAGCAAAUUGCGAUAAUUAAUGUGAAUUGCAUAUUCAGUGAAUCAUCGAGUCUUUGAACGCAUCUUGCACUCAUUGGUAUUCCAAUGAGUACGCCUGUUUCAGUAUCAAAAACACCCCACAUUCAAACUUUGUUGUUUGAAUGGAGAAUGAGAUGUGUCUCCUAAAGAGGACACUCUUGAAAUAAAGUAAGGCCUCAAUCUGUUUGCGCCAAAGCUUUUUUUUAAUAUAAAGAAAAGUUUCUGGUUUUCAAACUUGGGACAUAGGCCUUCCAAAUAAAGUCUUUCAAACUUGAUCUGAAAUCAGGUGGGAUUACCCGCUGAACCUAAGCAUAUCAAUAAGCGGAGGA
rnacentral:misc_RNA from 1 species